AACGGCCAUACCAUGCUGAAUAUACCGGUUCCCGUUAGAUCACCGAAGUCAAGCAUCAUUGGGCGCGGUCAGUACUUGGGUAAUACCUGGGAACCCCGCGUGCCGUU